GACGGGACCGCACAAGCGUGGAUGAUGUGGUUAAUUCGAUGCAACGCGAAAACCUUACCACCUUUGACAUGGCAGGAAUCCUAAAGAGAUUUGGGAGUGCUCGAAAGAGAACCUGCACACAGGUGCUGCAUGGCUGUCGUCAGCUCGUGUCGUGAGAUGUUGGGUUAAGUCCCGCAACGAGCGCAACCCUUGCCAUUAGUUGCUACGAAAGGGCACUCUAAUGGGACUGCCGGUGACAAACCGGAGGAAGGUGGGGAUGACGUCAAGUCCUCAUGGCCCUUAUAGGUGGGGCUACACACGUCAUACAAUGGCCGGUACAGAGGGUAGCCAACCCGCGAGGGGGAGCCAAUCCCAAAAAGCCGCUCUCAGUUCGGAUUGCAGGCUGCAACUCGCCUGCAUGAAGCCGGAAUCGCUAGUAAUCGUGGAUCAGCAUGUCACGGUGAAUACGUUCCCGGGUCUU
rnacentral:rRNA from 1 species